AUGGCCGCGAGCCCGCUGCCCUCGGGCGGCGCCGUGUCCGCGGCCGCCUACCCUGAAGCCCCUGCCGCGAUCCCCCUGCACCUCCAGGCGGGCGCGAUGCGGCGCCGCUUCCUGGGCGUGUUCAACUGCCUGUGCGCCGGCGCGUUCGGGGCCGUGGCCGCCGCCUCGGCCAAGCUGGCCUUCAGCCGCCAGGUGAACGUGGGCUUAUGCAUCAUAGGCAUUGUUAUGAUGGCCACCACCAAUUCUCUGAUGUGGACAUUCUUUAGUCGGGGCCUCAGUUUCUCCAUGUCUUCGGCCAUAGCAUCUGUCACAGUGACUUUCUCAAACAUCCUCAACUCGGCCAUGCUGGGCUAUGUGUUGUAUGGAGAGUGCCAGGAGGUCUUGUGGUGGGGAGGCGUGUUCCUCAUCCUCUGCGGACUCACCCUGAUCCACAGGACUUUCCCUCCAGUCUGCAAGACCCUUCCACACAAGCGCCAGUAGCCCCGGGCAGCUGGGCGGACCAGCUGGAAAGACGGAUGGGCCUGAUGCUGUGUUGGCACGUGGGGACCGCCGUGUCCUAGUGUAACAGGGUGACCCCACCCUCAGCCAAGAUGUAUAUUAGUUUGAUAAACAACAUCCACAUCUGGCUUCCUGGUGAGCAGAUGGCUUCCUGAUGGCUUGAACUUAGUUUUGUUGUUCUGGAGUUUGAAUUCCAGCUUCAGCAGCCAGUGCCCAGCUAGAACAUUUUAUCACCACAAAAAGAAACUCGCAUACUACUGAUCUGCCUUCCGUCUGGAUGGACUUGCUUAUUCUGGACAUUGCACCUCAGUGGAAUCGCGCGGCACGGGGCCUUUGUGUCCAGCAGCUUUUACUGGCAUCCGUGCACAUCCAUGCAGGACAUUGCAACCUGGCCAGGUCAUCCAGAACACCCCAGUGAAAGCUGGAUACAGGAAAUGUGUCAUCAAAUUUACUUCCAAUGAAGUGAAAGAGGCUCAUGCUGAGAUUCUUCUCAUCACUGCCUGAUGCUGUGGAAACACAAGCUGGGGCUCUGAGCCCUGGCUGAGGAUUUCAGCAUUUCCCACCAUGGGCCUAGCUUGCAGAUGACUCAAGUACUUAAUUAGAUUUCAGAUAGGUAGAUUUGAUUAAUCAUAGAGGGUAGAUUUAAGAGCCAGCUGGGGGGAAGAUAAGGCAUUCAAAGGCCAAUACAAACUAUAGGAAGCCAGGCCCACAGGGCCAGGCCAUAUGGAAUCACAGCAUCACCUUUUUAUAGCUAGAAACAUUCAGCUUGGGACAUAAACACACACACACACACACACACACACACACACACACACACAUACAUGCCUGAGUCACCGCCUCAAAGAACCUGACCACAACUGCCUACAGUCAGGCAUCCAAGCUGGAUUCCCCCCUCAGAGCCAUAGGCUAUGAGAAGCCAGAGCUGCCCCACUGGGGCCCCCUGAGAAACUGCCACCUUGUUAGCCUAAGGGUUCACCUGCCCUGGAGGCGGCUACCCAAUAGUCUGCUCCCAUCUCCCAUACCCCGAGGGUCCACUUUCCAGUUCUCAGAAGUCUCGGGCAGGCCAGCAGCACCCCCUCCUCUGGAGCAGGGUCUCUGGGUCCCCUGGAAGGAGGCACCUCCCAGUGCUGGACUGAAAGUCCUUCUGUUAACUGAAGCUGCUCCUUUUUUCUGCCCUCCAGAGACUUGCUCAGAUGAUCACUAUGCUUUUAAUUACACUCUGACUGCUUUAUGAUGACUACGUGGUUCCCUGGGUCACUCUUUUUUUCCUUUGAAAAAAACCUCCUUAGGUAUCUUAUGUGGGGGUCCCUUGGACGCAAGGAGCCACUGGAUCCUCAGAACUGAAUGGGGCUUUUUUCUGGGCCCCAUUCAGCAUGUUCAGCCUGUCAGGGUCUGUCACUUCAACUGGCUAAUACUCUACCAGGGGCAAGUUGUGGGGUGAAUGAGGGUUAUUUUGUGUGUAGCUUGCAUGACAUUCAGGGGUGAUGCACUGGAAUCUAAAGUCAAAAACCCUCCUCAAUCCUGGACACUUCACCCCCAAUGCCCACCUCCCUGACAUACAGUAGAUGCUCAAUAGAUGCUCGUUAUACAACAGGCUUUUCCUUUUUCUGCAACUGUGCCAUGCAUUUGUCUCCCACAAUGGAAAUGGGAGGAAGGCUUUUCCUAGAGGCGCUGUGACAGGGCCUGGGGUGGGGGAGAUGCCGUCCAGAGGUCCAGACUGGAAUGUC